rnacentral:lncRNA from 1 species
GGACAUGUGUCCUGUCUCGGGAGUUACGACUAGCCAUUGAUUUCUUAUCCUGCAUCUGUACACUCUCUUGUCGUCAUUUUUUUUUUAAUUUUUUUUUUUUUACUAAAGUCUGUAUUUAUAAGUGGUCAAGUCUUAAGAUGCUUUUAUAUAUUUUGUUUUUCUUUCUCUAAAUCAAAAUGUAAUUCCGCACACCGUAAGGAUAACUCAGUGGAUACGAGUACUUCCCAAGUAAGCCUGAGGACCAGAGUUCAAUCUGUGGAACCCACUAAAUGUGGAGGGGAGAAUCUAGUCCUCACAGUUGUCCUCUGACCUCCAUGCAUGCACCAUGGCACCUGCAGUCGCACAUACGCACACAAUAGAAAUAGAUACAUCUUAUUAACAUUUGUAGCUUCUAAUAAUAAUAAUAACAAUAACAGUUAUUAUUAUCAUUAUUUGGAGAACAGCUGCUCAUCAGAUGUGAUUAUUAUUUCUACCUUAGAGAGGGUAAGACUGAAUUAGAAACAUUAUAAAUUCAUCCAUGGCCGGAGACACUGCUAGCUUGGGCUAGUGCCCACCGUGUACAGAUUAGCGUGUUUAGGAACUCCGGAGUGAAUCUUGGCGUGACUCACUCCUCUUUUGAACUUACUCUAUUCUGUACUGUUGGAAUGUGCCCUAGGCUUUUUAUCUGACACAAGUAACCCAGGCUGCUCUCUAAUUUGUAAUCCUCCUGCCUCGGCCUUCUGAAUGGGGUGACUCAGAUAAUUUACACUAUAGUUGCCCUUCUUUAAGAACACCAUCCAUUAGGAAGGUGGGCAUCACGUAUUAGCAAGUAGAGAAAAGGUAGUUUAAGGCAAGUUUCAAUGAUUGCUCUUGCUGUUCUCUACUUUAAAAAAGAAAGAAAGGAAUAGGGCAUACUCAGGGGGAAGCGCUUGAACAGAGCCUGGGCUUGCCUCCCAAGCCCACGGUUUCAGAAAGUACAGCAUGGCGGUAUGCACUUACAGUCAUAACACCAGGGAAGAGGAGGCCUGGAUUCUUGGGGUUCGUUGGCCAACCAGCCCAGCCUACUUGUGUGUUCCAAGCCAGUGAGAGACAAAAGCGGCCAUGGCACCUGAACAAUGAUAUCCAAGGUGGCCUUCUCAUGCACUGACGUACACAGGCACCCGUACCCACACGCACACAUCACAUGCUGGUAUGUGUGAGCUAAACAGUGAUGUCUAAGGUUGUUCUCUGACUUUCACAUGUACUGGCAUAUGUGUGCACCCAUACCCACACGCACACAUCACAUGCUGGUAUGUGUGAACUAAACAACCAAACAGUGAUGUCUAAGGUUGUUCUCUGGCUUUUACAUAUACUGGCAUAUGUGUGCACCAUGAUUACAUGCUAGUAUGUGUGUAUUAAAAUCUGGAAAGUAAACUAUGUCUUUAGGGUUAGAAUUAUUAAAAUCUCACUUUUCAUUUAAUUGGUAUUCUUUUAACAUUUUAAAUAAAUAUUUUAAUGUUACAACUAAAAGAAAAUUAAAAUUUUCUUCAUUAUAAGUCAAAGGUAUGAUGAUGACAGUAAAAUCAAAAUGCAGGUAAUUUUUUAAGCCUCGGAUACAGAAACCCCACGUGUAGGAAGGCGCCUGCUGUAGAGAGGAGUGAACUGAAGAGUGAGGCCUUGCCAACCCUGCUUCUGUGACAGUGCUUUCUCCAUCCCGUGUCUCUUACUCCUGUCCGUGUUCCGGUCAUUGUGCACCACUGCCCCCGUGGUGGCUGAGACUCUGGCUUUAUUUCUCACAGUCCUCUGGCUCUGUGUUCACUGCCUGCCUGACUUGUACCUAAGCUCUCCUAAACUACAACCCAGCCAGCAUUUAUAGCAGACUUCGUUUCCUUAGUCUCAGCAUCAAGAGUCUAUGUGGUAGGCUGACCAAGCCCCCUCCGCCACUCAACAGGUUCUCCAGCAGGGGAGUGAGGAUUAAAAAGAAAAAGGGCAUUUAGACAGCAUUGUAGCGUAACUUCAGUCCGUUCUGAGACUGAAGGCAAAUUUAAUUUUCCAAUCCACUUUCUAUACCAUUUUAAUUACAUGCAAGUAUUUUGGGCAAGCAGUAGAAUAAGGAACUAACAAAGCAGCAAUCGAAGUCCUAGAUUACUCCCAAGACAGUUGUUUAAAAGGGCUUGUCAUAAAGACCAAAUACUUGAGCCCACUUCCUUGUCCAAGGCCAAAAUCUUGCCUGAAGCCUACUUCUUUUGUUGCACCCUGAGACUAAAAUUCCUGCCUUACCCUACUUCCCUAUUACAGCCUGAAGUUAAAUUCUUGCUGAAACUUACUUCUUUAUCAUGCCCUAAUGCCAGAUUCCUGCCUGAACUUACAUCCCAGUCAUGGCCAAUGUCAGAUUCCUGCCUGAAGCCCAUUUGCUUGUCCUUGGCCAGUGUCAGACUCCUGUCAAGCGGUACCCCAGAAGGUUUUCCAAAGUAGGCCCUC